rnacentral:rRNA from 1 species
CCUACGGGAGGCAGCAGUGAGGAAUAUUGGUCAAUGGCCGGAAGGCUGAACCAGCCAAGUCGCGUGAAGGACGAAUGUGCCCAGCAUUGUAAACUUCUUUUGUCAAGGGACAAAAUCAGGCUCGAGAGCCUGACCGAGGGUACUUGAAGAAAAAGCAUCGGCUAACUCCGUGCCAGCAGCCGCGGUAAUACGGAGGAUGCGAGCGUUAUCCGGAUUUAUUGGGUUUAAAGGGUGCGUAGGGGGACUGUUAAGUCAGCGGUAAAAGCCCGGGGCGCAACCCCGGCGAGCAGUUGAAACUGGCUGUCUGGAGAUGUGGAGAGGUAUGCGGAAUGCGCAGUGUAGCGGUGAAAGGCUUAGAGA